CCUCGGCGAUGCAACUGCAGCGGCGCAGACGGCGGCCAAGCCAAACAAGCCAAGACGGUCAAAUGCAUCAAAAUCAGACGCCGUUUAUUUUGUUUCGGGUUUGACGGACUGUAAUUUGGGACAAAGACGUCCGUCGCUGGAGGACAAAUGCUGCGGGAAGUUGAUGAGGGGUUGGCCUGUGCUGGAGAAGAGGAAGUGAAGAGGUGCACAACAACGCAUGCCCUUGUCGGGCCCUCUUUCCCCGGUACCUGCUGCCAAUGUUCCUGGAACCAGGCCAGUCCCUGUGGACCCUCCCCGGAUGCUCGUAUGCUUCCCAGUGUGUAAUCGGAGCCGGGCCUUUGACACAGUACAGGAAGAGCUUGUCGCCAGGGGAAACGCGCCACUUCCGGCCAGUGGAAGGGGGGGGGGGGGGAACCCGAUGCCGGGACCCGCGACGUCUGCAGCCGACAUCACAAGGGAACGCAGUUGCCUUUCAUCCUGCCUGUGUUUCUUUGCUUUCUUUCGCUUUCUAUGCACACAGUCAUCGGUAUCAGUCCCCCCACACCCCACGUCCUCAGGGGGUGUAACUUGACUUCGCAGUAGUAAUAGUUUUCCUUUGACAUCUAAAUGAUUAUUUAGACUUUCAUUUUGGAACGUGUGAGAGUUUGCUGAAACUUGGAUAAGAUCUCAUGAACUAAAAUGGUUCAUUAAGAUCUAAUUAACCAACUGGUUUGACACAACAGAAAUUGUUGCUAUCGAAUGUCGCCAUGUUUGAAC